rnacentral:rRNA from 1 species
AACGAACGCUGGCGGCAUGCCUAACACAUGCAAGUCGAACGAGAUCUUCGGGUCUAGUGGCGCACGGGUGCGUAACGCGUGGGAAUCUGCCCUUUGGUUCGGAAUAACAGUUGGAAACGACUGCUAAUACCGGAUGAUGACGAAAGUCCAAAGAUUUAUCGCCAGAGGAUGAGCCCGCGUAGGAUUAGCUAGUUGGUGUGGUAAAGGCGCACCAAGGCGACGAUCCUUAGUUUGUCUGAGAGGAUGAUCAGCCACACUGGGACUGAGACACGGCCCAGACUCCUACGGGAGGCAGCAGUGGGGAAUAUUGGACAAUGGGCGAAAGCCUGAUCCAGCAAUGCCGCGUGAGUGAUGAAGGCCUUAGGGUUGUAAAGCUCUUUUACCCGGGAUGAUAAUGACAGUACCGGGAGAAUAAGCUCCGGCUAACUCCGUGCCAGCAGCCGCCGUAAAAC